GCAGCGGGAGUCUCGUUCCCGUCUCCAGCACUCCCGUUUUGUUUUGCUGUUAACCCUUGCUGUGCUGCUGCCGUCGUGAUGAUUUUCAACACUAAAGACAAGCAUAUGUCUGACCUCCCGCUGAUGCGAGUGUGAGAUCUGAACGCAGCGGGUCCUCCCGUGUCUCUCCGGGCCGCGAGCCGCAGCGAGGCUCUGUGCACUGAAUCUGUCCUUCGUUUGCAGGCUGUGACCGUGCAGGGCUGCGCUGGAAGGAGAUGGAGCUGCAGGGUUCCUGUAACCAUGGAUCCGAGUCCUGGGCUGACUCGCACAAGUGGUGGCGGCUGAUGGACCUGCAGAGCCCUAUCUCUUGCAGUGGUGCCGGCGCCCUCUGGUGGCGGCUGAUGGACCUGCAUCCUGAAGCCAGCUGAAUUCGGUUUGGGACCCGGGACUCCAGGGCUCUGCUUACACCAGACACCAGAUCUGGCAGUGGGGGCGUUCCGCUGGACUUCAGCAUUACAAGGGUUCUGCGGAAGGACGUGGCUGCCUGGAAGAACAGAAGAGGGUCCUGGGAGUUGUAGUUUAACUGUCUUUCUAAAGCUGGUUUACCUUCAGUAUCUCCUGUUUCUUGAUGUGAGGGGUGUGCAGAACCCCCCCCUGUCUGCUCUCAUAAUAAAUGACUGGACUGUG